CUGCAUUCAGAAAUGACCAUACUAUAUCAAAUGCAAAUAUGGUAAAACAGCUAAGCCAUCAAAGGGUUAAGUAACAAUGAGUUUGAAAAAAAAUGCACCAGCCUAGAGGACAGAUAGCAAACUUUUUUGUCCUCCCACUUCGCUCACUCUGGCUUUCUGAGAAGAUCCUGCAAGUACUGACUCAACGCAUAAAAAACAUCUCCAAGAUCUCAAAAAAUGGUGGUCACAAUUAAUCCAACUACUGAAUUGAACCUUUCAAGCUUCGACUGGAGUGUAAACACCACGGCAAAUGACUCUACAUUUAAUGAAACUGCGGAUAUGGUCAUCCGCUUGGCUUUAAUUGUCCUUCUUUUUAUCACCAUGGUGUCUCUGGGCUGCACAAUGGAUAUCUCAAAGAUCAAGGAUCAUCUCAUGAAACCCAAAGGAGUGGUGAUUGCAGUAGGGGCUCAGUAUGGCAUCAUGCCCUUCACUGCCUUCUGCCUGGCAAAGCUGUUUCGGUUAAGUCCUAUGGAGAGUUUGUCUGUGCUAAUUUGUGGCUGCUGUCCAGGAGGAAACCUCUCAAACAUUUUUGCUUUGGCCCUCCAGGGAGACAUGAACCUCAGUAUUGUGAUGACCGCUUGUUCCACAGUCCUGGCGUUGGCCAUGAUGCCCCUCUUGCUCUACCUGUACAGCUGGGGUUUCUCAAACCUGGUGGAUUUUGUUCCCUUCACUGGAAUCAUUUUCUCUCUUAUUUUGAUCCUGGUGCCCUGUGGAAUUGGAAUCCUACUCAACUACCGAGUGCCCCAGUAUUCUAAGAUCAUCACCCAGGCUGGAUUGACGCUCAUGCUGAUCUCUUGCAUUGUGAUUGGCGUACUUGCUGGUGUGGCUGAUGGAGGACAGAUUUUCAAAGUACUGUCAUCUCAACUUGUAGCCACUGCUGCAUUGAUGCCGUUGACUGGAUACAUAUUUGGAUAUAUCCUGUCCGCACUGUUUAGGAUGAAUGAACCGUAUUUGCAGACGGACUGUGUCUAUGGAGGUCGGUUGUCAAAACAUCCAGCUUUGUACCACAAUCCUGAAGGUGGCCUUUCCCGCUGAGAUCAUUGGUCGGCUGUACUUCUUUCCAGUCAUCUACAUUGUGUUCCAGAUUGUCGAGGCGCUGAUCUUUAUAUUCCUGUUCAGAUGCCAUCAGAAACUGAGGCCAUCUCAAAAAGGAACACAAGCCUACAGAACAGUAGAAAGAGCAGCUGAAGUGACGAAUGAGCCCCAGCAAUGACAUCUGAAGGUCACAGUGAAAAAAACACCACAGACAGGCAUGAGCGCAAGGUGAAUUGAUUAUUGCAAUCUUUAGUAAAGAGCAGAGAGAGUGAGGGAAACAUUAACUAGUAUGGAGCUGAACGGUCAAUACUGAUGCUGAUGUUGUUUUUGUUGUUGUUUUUUAUUCGAAAUUGUUCUAAUAGCAAUAAAUGUAGCUAAUUUUAUCAUCA